GAUGAAGAACGCAGCGAAAUGUGAUAAUUAAUGUGAAUUGCAGAAUUCCGUGAAUCAUCGAGUCUUUGAACGCACAUUGCGCCUCAUGGCAUUCUGUGAGGCAUGCCCAUCUCAGCGUUAGAAAAUAUUCUCAAAUUUUAGUUUUGUGCUAAAAUUUGGAUCAUGUCAAAGAAGCUAUUGCUAUUAUUGUGAUCGCUCUUUGGAAAUUGAUAGGUCUUUGAGUUGCUACUCAUAGAACGUGAUGAAUCUUUCUUCGUUCUAUUGUAAUUCACUCUGGUAGUCCUAAAACUUGUAUGCCUGUGGCAUAUCUUGUAAUUUGACCUGAGAUUGGGUAGGGAUACCCGCUGAACUUAAGCAUAUCAAUAAGCGGAGGGA
rnacentral:misc_RNA from 1 species